rnacentral:tRNA from 1 species
CGGAAGUGGCGAAAUUGGUAGACGCACCAGAUUUAGGUUCUGGCGCCGCAAGGUGUGAGAGUUCGAGUCUCUCCUUCCGCACCA